GGAGCAGCAGAGGUUGUUGGGUGAGCAUGUACACUGUGUGGCCACCACACUCAAAAUGACUGAGCGAGUAGAGCAAUGAAUCUGCAUCAAAGUUUGCAUUAAGCUUUAACAUUCUUUUGCAGAGACUAUUCAGAUGAUUCAGAAGGCCGCAGCUAUGGGCAACUGGUGGUUGGCAGCUUCGACAUGACAACGUGCCCACUCAUGCAUCACGUCUCCUGCAGAGUUUUUUGGUGAAACAUCAAAUCACC